rnacentral:rRNA from 1 species
ACGGAGGGGGCUAGCGUUGUUCGGAAUUACUGGGCGUAAAGCGCACGUAGGCGGCUUUGUAAGUUAGAGGUGAAAGCCCAGGGCUCAACCCUGGAAUUGCCUUUAAGACUGCAUCGCUUGAAUCAUGGAGAGGUGAGUGGAAUUCCGAGUGUAGAGGUGAAAUUCGUAGAUAUCGGGAGGAACACCAGUGGCGAAGGCGGCGAUCUGGGAAGAUACUGACGCUGAGGUGCGAAAGCGUGGGGAGCAAACAGGA